UAGACAGCUGGUCUCCUUGGAGGAAUCAUGAGUGACCCAAUGGCAUUGUUCUUUAAUCACAGGAAUGAAGGAGGAGGAACGUUCAAUGGCCCUGCAAUGCAGAAUGGAUAUGUUACUCCAGCAGAUGUCGCAAGGAUUUCAAACUCUGGAACAAACUUUGCAGUCAAGACAGGAGUUCCCAUGUCUUGAAUUUUACCUUUUCCAAGCAUACUGGCAGAACUACCUAGGGAUAGCCAUGCCACCAGAAGAGAUAAUUCACCGACAAGUCCUGGAAUUGGCAGGAGGGGAGAGGAUUAAUAAUAUAUGGACUGACUCCAGAUCUGCAUUUGGCAUAGGGCCUGCUCAGAGUGAUGUCUGGAACAGAAGAUUGCGUGAAGCUCGAGGUAAGUAAAUUAAACAUGCUGAAGAAAUUUUACGUCUAUUGGAAAAUGUAUAUUUAGAGGAACAAGUGUCAGUCAUGCACAGAGGUCACCAAAGGGUAAGACUGAACAAGAAUUAGGAAACAGAUUAGCAGACCAUGAGGCUAAAUGGGUGGCAGAAGGGGCUCAUACUGGGGCACUGGCUUUGAUACCAGGUGGUAAAGCCAUGGGUACAGAAAGAGGAUACCAGCACUCAGGUGGUAUGAAGAGGAUAUGAAGCUGGUGAAGAACUUAGAAGCAAAUAAGCACGGAACUGUGCUCAUUACACCUGACAAUGAGACAGAGUAGACAUUCUCCAGAGUAGAAAUCCAUCUUGAUUUAGGUGUAAUGUACAUCUUUGAGUCUGUAGUUAAAAAACAUAGCUAUUUAGCUGACUGCAAAAGCCUAGGCUCAGAGAAUAUGCUUCAGUGAAGGACAGAGAUAAAGGCAGGGGGCGGGGGGGAGACAGAGGAUGAUAAAGAGGGACAGAGUCUGCUGUGAGAGCAAGUCAACCAGACUUGCUAGGAAUUCUUUCUGAUAAAGAAGAACUAGCGGCAAAUGUCACACAAAAUUCAUAAAAAUGAAUGCGUAUGAACCUAUUGUGAAAUUGCAUGCAUAUGUAUUUGAGAGGGGGAUAAAAAGGGACCUGAAGUCCCCAGAGGUCUGCAUGUCUUUUAAGGAGAGUAAUCUCAUGCAUCCAGUGCUGUAAUAAACACACUGGCUUUACAACUUUCA
rnacentral:lncRNA from 1 species